rnacentral:sRNA from 1 species
CCAGGGGCUUACGCGCCCUGGCUAAUGACUGGCGUCCCUUUGGGACU